UACAGAGGGUGCAAGCGUUGUUCGGAAUUACUGGGCGUAAAGCGCGUGUAGGUGGCGAUGUAAGUCGGGUGUGAAAUCCCUCGGCUCAACCGAGGAAGUGCACUCGAUACUGUGUCGCUUGAGUGUUGGAGGGGAUGGCGGAAUUCCCGGUGUAGAGGUGAAAUUCGUAGAUAUCGGGAGGAAGGCCGGUGGCGAAGGCGGCGCUCUGGAACAUUUCUGACGCUGAGGCUCGAAGGCGUGGGA
rnacentral:rRNA from 1 species